ACCCCCUGGCAAUGGGCAGAGAGACACCUUGGUGGUGGUGUUGAUCUUAUAUCAGUCAGGGGCAGAGCAGAUGGCAGUCCUUUGUUCAUCCUAGCUUGAUGCCUGCUCUGGUGGCCAAAGCUGUUUCAUGCCUAGGGCACAUAA
rnacentral:snoRNA from 1 species